CCCCUCGGCUGCCUGGCCCCCUCCCAGCGCCCUCCGGGCGGCCUCUGAUGCCAACGCCCCCCCAGGGGUCCCUCGCCGCGGACAGAACCCUGCACCCCUUCGGCUGACGCUUGGGUCCUCCAACCUCUACCCUCCCAGCAACUAGCCACCAGUGGGGUCCCUGACUUCUCAGGAGUCGAGACACGCAUCUUCUGGGUAUCUCUCAGCUGGGACCCCAGCCUUCCAAGCUCUCCGGCGGAGCCCCACCUCCUUCGCUACGGAUCACGGCCAGCCCCAGUCCAGCGGACUCCCCAGACCUCUGCCUCCUUGUGCAAGGGGCUGGUAGGAUCGGCUGGACAGCAUGAGUCUAGGACUGUGGACCCCUUUAGGACACCGGACUUUGGCCACUAGGACGCUUAAGACUGUGCUGAACCGAUAGUCGCGGUCCGGCCAGUGGCCCAAGGAGAAGAAAAGGCUCCGGGCAUGGCCUUUGCAGACCACCAGGCCAAACUGCCUGGGGCGAGGCUGGAGCCGGGGACUGGCGCCAGAGUCGGCUGGAGGGAGACUCCCAGGGCACUAGCCUUAUGUAUAUUUUUUCCGCCUAGGGGUCCCCGAGACGGCCUUCGGGGAGAGGGAAGCAAUGUUUUCAGCACUUUGUUCCUAAAAUCACCUGGAGUUUUUUCUCCACAGCACCUCCAUUAUGGCAAGGCAGUGAGCUCGGAGGCGGGCACACAAAUCUAGUUCCCUCCUUGGGUACAGACCUAAGACCUUAGCUCAGAAAGAGAAUUUCGAGUCAGAGUUUAGGGCAAUGUAGACAGGUGCGAGGGAUUGGCCGAGCUCGAUGCCCUCCAUCUAGCCCCUCUGUCUUUGCAGGACCCUAGACCUCCAGGGAAUGAUCCCAGAGGGGUCCCAGGUGGGUCCCGAGCAGAGGGAGGGCUGGGGUCCCUGCCGCCCCCGAGGAUGGGGGAGGGGCAGCAGGAUUGACAGUCCGUAAUUGGGUAACUGGAGGCGGCUUCUCCGGCCCGGCGGCCCCGCCACCGCGACGCCGGGCCCCUGACGUCACCCGAUUCGCCAGGAAAUGAACUUUUUAAUAAUCCAAGGAGGGAGGAAAGCCCUCGGUCCCCUCGGCUCGGGGGGCGCCCAGCCCGGCUCAGCUCUGCGGGCGCGCUCCCAUCACCCCCCUCCCACGUCCUCUGCGGACAGCUCUGAGGGGGCGCGCACACCGCAGGGCCUCCUCCGGCCUCUGCGCCUGGCGUCCGUCUGACUGUCCGAGGCUUUGGAACAGACCACGAUUCUUCUUUAACACGCAAAGCGAGAUAGUCAUGGAGUUUCCAGUGUUCCUUGUCCCUGGAACCUAGCUGAGCAUCUAAAGGCCUCGCAGCCUCGGCGAUAACCCUCCUCUCGGCAACGGUGCCCCAUGCGGACGAAUCCCAGGCCUCUGCACUGCAGACUUCCAGGAGAGCGCGGAGCACAGAGGAAGCUGCCCUGGCCGUCGGCGCCUCUGCUGGCAGGGCGCGGGGAGGGGGGGCUCUUCCACACCACCCCCGAAAGCAGGUAAUUCCCCUCUUUUCUCCCAAAGUCGCAAUUAAAAUUAUCACUGUUUGAACGAGAUGGGGGUUGCGGUUUCCACGCCACGUCUCGCACAGGGCAGGUCCUGCCUCUCGCAUAGGUGAAAGGGGUCAGCCCGGCGGGUCCCCACUAGAAACACGAGCCCCAGUGUUGCCCACCUGCCUACCGCAGAGCGGGGUGCAGAAGGGGCCGAAGGGGAUUUAAUUACUCCACUCGGCAGCUCAGAAAAUCGCUAAGCCGGGCGGUUAAGCGACGCUUGAGCCAGGGCCUCAAGAGACCCGCAACAUCCUGAUUGCCCACAGACUGGGCAUGGGGUUGGGGCGAGGGGUGUCCUGCCAGGUCCUCUGAGGCCCUGGGGCUGCCUUCUGGAAAGUGCAAGCAACCAACCGGCUGGCCUGAGCCCUUGCCGAGGUUGGAACUCCUGCGUCCGAUGCGGGACUGCAGUUUUCCAGCAGGAACGAACCGGUCUGAAAGGGAAAAUUGCCGGGAGUAGAUGCCACACAGGAGGCCCUUCUGAACACAAGACCUUUCCCCUCACCGCUGGGGUAAGCGGAGUUCAAGUCCGGCCGCCACCGAACGGUUCAGUGCUCGGCGUCCAGACAGGUCCAGAGCUCUGUCUACGCCUAUCCACAGCAGAUCCCCAAGCCCGCGUCCGCUUCGUUUUUAUUGAAAUCCCCCUGAAAGGAUUCUGGCUCCGACUUGGGCAGGGGAAGACUUAAACACCCUGCGCUCUCCCCCACCUGCACCCUCGCUCGCCACACAGGAUAAAGGGCCGCGGGGCGCUUCGAGCGGGGGGCACAAGCAGGAGCGAGCCGGGUUAAGCCGCGCAAAGCCGGUGCACGGGACCAGCCGGCAGGUGCAACCAGCGACCGGCGGCCCGGCUUGGGCGCAUCGGCCGCCGCGACCCGGGGGUGGGGAACCGCCGAGACAAAGGCUCCAGCUCUGGAGUGGGCGGGGGCGCGUCGCAAAGCUCUCGAAAGCCAGGUCUCGAGGUCCACGACUCCGGAAAAAAACCGAAGGCUGGAGCACCCAGGCUUUGGGUUUCCUGAUGACCUGGGUUUGAGCCACUAGUCGGACCGUGCGAUCCGGGUGUUGAGAAGGCCGUGCCUGGGAUCCGGAGGUUCGGGACAGCGCGGGCGGAAUGCAGGAACUUACCGACUGCGGCGCGGUGGGCGGCGCCCUCGGGCGGCCACGGCCAGGGCUCAGCAGGGAGGGAGCGGUGUACGCGGCGUGGCUAGUCGGCCCGCUGGAGCCGGUGAGACAGCGGCGGUCACCAGCCGGACUCCGGCGCAGCGCCUAACGAAAGAUCGGUGCGCAGGCGGUCGCUUUUGUCCGCUUGAUGGGCCCCAAGACCAGCUAUGGUUGAGGUGAUCGCAGGCUAGAGAGACCUGAGCAGUGAGCUACCGCCCGGCUGGCCUGGCCACCUCUCUUGGUUCUGGCUGCCUCUCGGUUCUCGGCCGCCGCGCGGCAGCUUUUUAUUUCGACAUCACUUCGCGGGGGGAAGGGGGCGCCGCAG